AACAGGAUUAGAUACCCUGGUAGUCCACGCCGUAAACGAUGUCGACUUGGAGGUUGUUCCCUUGAGGAGUGGCUUCCGGAGCUAACGCGUUAAGUCGACCGCCUGGGGAGUACGGCCGCAAGGUUAAAACUCAAAUGAAUUGACGGGGGCCCGCACAAGCGGUGGAGCAUGUGGUUUAAUUCGAUGCAACGCGAAGAACCUUACCUACUCUUGACAUCCACGGAAUUUGGCAGAGAUGCCUUAGUGCCUUCGGGAACCGUGAGACAGGUGCUGCAUGGCUGUCGUCAGCUCGUGUUGUGAAAUGUUGGGUUAAGUCCCGCAACGAGCGCAACCCUUAUCCUUUGUUGCCAGCGAUUCGGUCGGGAACUCAAAGGAGACUGCCGGUGAUAAACCGGAGGAAGGUGGGGAUGACGUCAAGUCAUCAUGGCCCUUACGAGUAGGGCUACACACGUGCUACAAUGGCGCAUACAAAGAGAAGCGAUCUCGCGAGAGCAAGCGGACCUCACAAAGUGCGUCGUAGUCCGGAUCGGAGUCUGCAACUCGACUCCGUGAAGUCGGAAUCGCUAGUAAUCGUGGAUCAGAAUGCCACGGUGAAUACGUUCCCGGGCCUUGUACACACCGCCCGUCACACCAUGGGAGUGGGUUGCAAAAGAAGUAGGUAGCUUAACCUUCGGGAGGGCGCUUACCACUUUGUGAUUCAUGACUGGGGUGAAGUCGUAACAAGGUAACC
rnacentral:rRNA from 1 species